AGAAGUAGGUGGCAAUAUGAAGUCAAAUAAAUCGCUUGCUAUGAUUGUGGUAGCCAUCAUUAUUGUAGGUGUAUUAGCAUUUCAAUUUAUGAAUCAUACGGGUCCUUUCAAAAAGGGGACGAAUCAUGAAACUGUACAAGAUUUAAAUGGUAAAGAUAAAGUACAUGUUCAAAGAGUUGUGGAUGGUGAUACAUUUAUUGCAAAUCAAAAUGGUAAAGAAAUUAAAGUUAGGCUUAUAGGGGUUGAUACGCCAGAAACGGUGAAACCGAAUACGCCUGUACAACCAUUUGGCAAAGAAGCAUCAAAUUAUAGUAAGAAGACAUUAACAAAUCAAGAUGUUUAUUUAGAAUAUGAUAAAGAAAAACAAGAUCGCUAUGGUAGAACAUUGGCGUAUGUAUGGAUAAGUAAAGAUCGUAUGUACAAUAAGGAAUUAGUGGAAAAGGGACUUGCUAGAGAGAAGUAUUUUUCACCAAAUGGCAAAUAUAGAAAUGUAUUUAUAGAAGCACAAAAUAAAG
rnacentral:sRNA from 1 species